CUCUUGAUGGACAUCUAGUGAAGAAAAUGAUCGAAAAUAUUACUACUGAGUUGACGUUGGGAUCUUUCAAAAUAUCCCUAUUUCUUCUUAGGUAUCAUCACGAAAUGCACACACGUCAUCAGUUUUGUUUCUGAGAAUGGGGAUUUUGGAGCAUGGAGACAUCUUGGUAUCUCCCGAAUGGCUGGGCAGCGAAAGCAGUUUAAGUCUGAACCUGAUGAGCGAGGGCACGGAGUGCAUCUUCAUCCCUGUGAAGCUGUUUUUGAAGGGGGCCCCUGCCAGGUCUCUGCACUCAGCCCUGCGGCUGGUAAACAGCUACCCUACAGAGAGCAUGAUUAGGGAAGGAUAUGCUGUUCAACAGGCUUGGAGCAUCUACAAAGCCAAACUUGUCAGGCACAGGCUACACCACGCUGCAAGGAGCCAAUCUGUGUCCGGCAAAUGAUCAACACUGUUACUGAAAUAAUCAGAUUUCUCAUUUUGAUUCCCGAGGUUGCCAAGCUUUUAAAGUGUAUGAGUUUCACGUGUGUUUUUUAAAGAAAAUCACUUCUUGACAUAAUAUUAAAAAAGAUCAUAUGGCCAAAACAUAGUAUUAACUUUUCGCUUCUUUCUCCUUUGUCUUUAUUUUUGUUCCUUUUUUAUAUGCUGAAUAUAGUCAUUUCUGGGUUACAGCUCCUUUUUUGCUGCUAAGAAAUGUGCACCUCUUUUUUGUAACUCUAAAUGAACCGCGGAGAAGUAAAACUGUAGAAUUAGGGAUACAGCUUUGCUACGCAUUACUCAAAUUAGAAUGAAGUAUAUUUCUCUGAUAUUGACUCCAGUAAUAUGGCAGUGCUUUGGAAUUAUGCAUGCUGCUUCAAUAGAGAGCCACCCUUCUGGUUUGUUUUGUUAUGACAAUAAACAACCACAGAACUGCUUGCACGUUUUCUCCUUUCUUUCUCGAGGGCAUACAGUCGAUUGUGUCGCCUCUGGAGUCAUACACCACAGCCCGCAGCAAGCGGAAGAGAUGA
rnacentral:lncRNA from 1 species